rnacentral:rRNA from 1 species
UAAUGGCUCACCAAGGCGACGAUCCCUAGCUGGUCUGAGAGGAUGAUCAGCCACACUGGAACUGAGACACGGUCCAGACUCCUACGGGAGGCAGCAGUGGGGAAUAUUGCACAAUGGGCGCAAGCCUGAUGCAGCCAUGCCGCGUGUGUGAAGAAGGCCUUCGGGUUGUAAAGCACUUUCAGUCGUGAGGAAGGUAGUGUAGUUAAUAGCUGCAUUAUUUGACGUUAGCGACAGAAGAAGCACCGGCUAACUCCGUGCCAGCAGCCGCGGUAAUACGGAGGGUGCGAGCGUUAAUCGGAAUUACUGGGCGUAAAGCGCAUGCAGGUGGUUUGUUAAGUCAGAUGUGAAAGCCCGGGGCUCAACCUCGGAAUAGCA